UACGGAAGGUCCAAGCGUUAAUCGGAAUUACUGGGCGUAAAGCGCGCGUAGGUGGUUUAUUAAGUUGGGUGUGAAAGCCCCGGGCUCAACCUGGGAACUGCAUCCAAAACUGAUUCACUAGAGUACGAAAGAGGGAGGUAGAAUUCACAGUGUAGCGGUGGAAUGCGUAGAUAUUGUGAAGAAUAUCAAUGGCGAAGGCAGCCUCCUGGUUCUGUACUGACACUGAGGUGCGAAAGCGUGGGUAGCGAACAGGAUUAGAUACCCUGGUAGUCCACGCCGUAAACGAUGACAACUAGCUGUUGGGAAGCAAUGCUUUUCAGUGGCGCAGCUAACGUAUUAAGUUGUCCGCCUGGGGAGUACGGCCGCAAGGUUAAAACUCAAAUGAAUUGACGGGGACCCGCACAAGCGGUGGAGCAUGUGGUCUAAUUCGAUGCAACGCGAAAAACCUUACCUACUCUUGACAUCCUUGGAAUCUCUUGUAAUGAGAGAGUGCCUUUUGGAACCAAGUGACAGGUGCUGCAUGGCUGUCGUCAGCUCGUGUCGUGAGAUGUUCCGUUAAGUCGGAUAACGAGCGCAACCCUUACCCUUAUUUGCCAGCGGUUCGGCCGGGAACUAUAAGGGGACUGCCGGUGAUAAACCGGAGGAAGGUGAGGAUGACGUCAAGUCAUCAUGGCCCUUACGAGUAGGGCUACACACGUGCUACAAUGGGAAGUACAGAGGGACGCCAAAGCGUGAGCUGGAGCUAAUCUCAUAAAACUUUUCGUAGUCCGGAUUGCAGUCUGCAACUCGACUGCAUGAAGUCGGAAUCGCUAGUAAUCGCGGAUCAACACACCGCGAGUGAAUACGUUCUCGGGUCU
rnacentral:rRNA from 1 species